CCCAAAGUGCCAUUUGCUAAUGCCAUUGUGAAGACAGGUUCCUUCAAAGCUAAACAAAUGAUAGCUAUUGCAUCUCUGUUCUACUGAAGUCUCUGAGAGCGAUCCAGACUAUGACUCCAUCUUCAAAUUUCAAAGUUUCCCAGGCUGGAACUGAUGCAAAGCAAAAAAGCCAGGCUACAGACACCUGCAACCAUGAGACAACUGUCUACCUGCUCCCUGGUAAGUAGAACAGGAGUUUAACAAGAGGUGUAGAGAUGUCCACU
rnacentral:lncRNA from 1 species